rnacentral:lncRNA from 1 species
AGAUCGAUACAUGAUGCACCUGACAAGCUUCGAGUUCUGCUUCCUGCUAUCCACGUUCUACUCCAUAUUUGUAUACUCCGACGUGCUGUUUGGAAUAUUGCAGAACAGGGAGUUUGACAUGCAGUUCUGCUUGCCCAGGGUGGACGGCUUCUGCAACACCACAGAGAGGGAGAAAAAGGAAAACUCAAUUCCAUCUAUGAGAACACUGAGUGAGACCAGAGUUCCAAAAGAGGAGACGUUCGCAGGCAGUACCAACAGCUACACAGUGUGAUCAACCACAUUGUCACUCAGCAAACAGGUUCAAUGACCAUGAAAAGCUCAUGUUCCUUUCCCUCCUUGACCCACAAAAGUUCCUAUAUAUAUGGAAACGACAAACUUUCCAAAUGCUGCGUUCUCAAGUCUCGAGGAAAGCUAUGGCUCUAAUUUUGAUUUGCCGCUGCUUAAAACAGAACUCACCGUUAUGUACUCAAUGUCUGACUUCAAGGGUAAGAGCGCGGCUGAUCUGCUCCACUUUCUCCAGCAGAAGAGCCAAAUUGAUGGUAUGCACCAAUUGCAUCUGCUUUCCUGUCUAGUUUUGACCAUUCCAGUGUCCACUGCAUCAGAAAGAACAUUUUUCUGCACUAAAAAGGAUCAAGACAUAUUCCAGGAACACCACUGGACUGUCAGUCCUGGCUUUAAUCUCAAUCAAAAAAUAACUUCUUAUGGAUUUAAAAUCAAAAGACAAGCUAUAUAAACCUGACAUUGCCCAUUUCAUAAUGAAGGACAGGAGAAUGGACUUCGUUUUUAAAUGAUAAUCAUAAUGCCAUUACAAUGAGUCCAUCCUCCUAUAGCUCCACCCACCAGCUUCCUCUGGAACAAUGAUAAUGAGGGAUCCUGUCUGAGAUGUUGAGGAAGGUAUGACUAGCACACUCCCCCAAACAAAGUCCAAUUACCAUCCUUCAAACCCUCUAAAGAUAGCCAGAUAACAGGGGGGCAGACAGUAUGAUGUAAUUGACUGACGGCUAGUUUAAUCCAUACAUUAAACUCAUCUCUCUAAAUCACAACCUGGAGCUGCUGACUGAACGUCGUCCUAUUUAUGCCCCGUGAAAUUUCAGGAUGAAGACAAGUGAGUUCCAAC